CGGGGUGAGUAACGCGUGGAUAACCUGCCUUACACUGGGGGAUAACACUUAGAAAUAGGUGCUAAUACCGCAUAAGCGCACAGAGCCGCAUGGCUCAGUGUGAAAAACUCCGGUGGUGUAAGAUGGAUCCGCGUCUGAUUAGCUGGUUGGCGGGGUAGAAGCCCACCAAGGCGACGACCAGUAGCCGGCCUGAGAGGGUGAACGGCCACAUUGGGACUGAGACACGGCCCAAACUCCUACGGGAGGCAGCAG
rnacentral:rRNA from 1 species